rnacentral:misc_RNA from 1 species
UGUGUUUUCCUAGCAGACGUUUUGUCGAUCUCACGAGCAAUUAAUUUUAAGUUUUUUUUUAAAGAGAGGGGAAAAGAUGAUUGAUUGACAAGAAAGUAAAUGAAAAAAAUAAAAAAUAAAUAAAAUAAAAAUGCGUUGACAAACAAGGAGAAUAUUGGAGUUGAAAUAUGUGGUUUGUUACUUGCUAGCCGUAAGCCUUUUCAAGUUGUUGACAAUUUAGCUCGUCGCACAUGCUGCGAUAUAAAAAUUACAAUGCCGGGGAAAGUAAAAGUGAAAAUUCUUGCUGGAAGAAAUCUUCCUGUAAUGGAUAGGUCAAGUGACACGACGGAUGCAUAUGUUGAGAUAAAGUUAGGUGGUAUAACACACAAGACAGAUGUCUUCAGAAAAUCACUUAAUCCGCAAUGGAAUUCCGAGUGGUUUAUUUUUGAGGUUGAUGAUGCAGAGCUUCAGGAUGAACCCCUUCAAAUAAGAUUGAUGGAUUAUGACACUUAUUCAGCUAAUGAUGCCAUAGGAAAAGUGUACUUGGAUUUAAAUCCUCUUUUGGUCACACCAGGCCUCUCUGGAAGAGGAAUUGCUAGAGCGGAAACUUGUUCGGUCCCAUCGUCAGGAGGUACUGUGUUGUCAGGGUGGCUUCCAGUAUAUGAUACAAUGCAUGGGAUGAGAGGGGAAGUGUCUGUCAUAGUCAAAGUUGAAUUAUUUUCUGAUGUGAAUAAGUUUCGGCAAAGUUCUUGUGGGGUCCAAUUUUUUAGUACUCCAGCCACCCCUUAUGGAUUUAAAAUUCAGUCUAUUCAAGGUUUUGUGAAAGAACUGGUUGUUAACGAUGACCCGGAAUAUCAAUGGAUAGACAAGAUCCGAACACCAAGAGCAUCAAAUGAAGCCCGGCAAACGUUGUUUUCCCAACUGUCCGGUGAAGUGCGUCGUAAAAUCGGAUUAAAAGUAUUGGAGCUUGGCGGAAAUGCUGUUGUCGGGUAUCAACAGAUGUUUGACCUUGAAGGAGUAACUGGGCUAGUAGUACGUGGUAUAGGGACAGCUGUAACCUUGGCUCGGUGCCAUUUUGAUGGAAACUCAGCUGUUACUUGGUUUAAAGACCAGCAUCAUGGAAACGGCCGAGAAUCUCCCCGCUGUACAGCCAUUUCGCCAGUCGAUGUCAUUAAACCGCUCGUUAGUUCUACCAUCACUGCUCCAGUUGUCGUUCAUGGAACAACACCUUCACGGCCAACUCCUUGUGCGCGUCGUUCAUCCGAAUCUGAAAUCAACACAACCCCGAAAGGUACUUCAAGUUUGUCUGAUAGCUUUGGCUCAUCUGGAGGUGGAAUAUCAUCCAACUGCCGACAGACGGCUCAUCGUCAAACUUCAGUACCUGUUCCUCCCUCGAAUACAUAUCUUAACGGCGUUGAUGUUACAAGGAAUUUGGACGCUCUCGAAUAUCCUUUCCUGACAAUGAAAACAUAUCCACCGGGAUUCAUUGUUCACGUUGGAGGCACCGUGAGUGCCAGAUCCGUAAAACUGUUGGAUCGAAUCAACAACUCGGAGGAACCAGAGACACGAGAUAAUUGGUGGACUGAAAUUAGAAUGGAAGUUCGUUCACAUGCUCGGGCGCUCGGCUGCUCCGUGAUUCUUGGCUAUGAGGAGCAUACAAGUAUUAGCGAGGAAGUUUGUGUUCUGAGCGCAUCCGGUACGGCAGCCAUCGUCAAACUUCAACACGAGGUGGAUACCAAAGAUGUAAACCAUGGAAAAAGUAAUACCGUUAUCACUGAGGAUAGUAAAGUGAAUCUCCCUUGCCGCGUGUGUCAUAUCCCUUAUAGCAAGGCCAGCAUUCCUUUCCCUAUCAAACUUUCUCGCUGUGCUGUAUGCAGGAAAGGUAAAGUUCCUGACGUGUUAAUAGCCACUAUCGAACCUCCUACAGGAAUGCUCGUGUCGGGUCGCGGAUGUUUGAUACAGGCACGGCUCUGCCGCCCGAAACGUGCCGAAUCUCGAGGCGAUCAGCAAGCUAAAGAAAUUUCAGACGGGCUGCCUUUCCUUGAAUACGAAUUGCAUAGACAAUUAAUCAAUAAAUUACGAACCAAAGGCAUGAACGCCAUCUUUCAUCUAAAGGUGCAAGUCAGCAUCGGAGAUCGACAUGUAGUUGGGGUUGCUACAGGCACGGCGCUCUUCUUAAGCGCAUUACCCACUCCGUCGUUACCUAAACCAAGCAAUCCUAGCAUAUCUUCGAAACAGUCGAAACGAGGACGUAUUCACAAGUUAUUGAUUGAAGCCCACGCGGCCAGCCAAGAACGUUAUGGUCUGAACAAACAACUGAAUAAAGUAAAUGACGUGGAAGAACCUAAGUGGACUGACUCGGAUGAUACCGACGAGGAUGCCAACGAUCUCGAUCUAACAGCUGACAAUAAAGAUUCAUGCGUCAUAGAAAUUGACGACAUUGAAGAUAUCGACGUGAUUGAAUUACUGAUUGACCCCGAAACCCCAGAAGGUUUUGACGUGGUGAAUACUGAGACGGUGCCUGGAUUACCGAUCGAUAGCAUUCGCCGGCGUCCUAAUCUUCAAGCCUUCAACCGCGUUUGGAAGGGAAAGAUCCCCACCUUACAAGCUGCACGACAUCUAAAUCGCUGCUUUGAAAUGAUAUUACGGAGCAUUUACUUCAAGUUGCGUAAGUCACGCCCGUGUGUGAUCACAAACCUUGAAUUCAGCGUCGAUUUGCCCGAAGAUGAUGAAAUUCAAAUUACUGUACUAGGUACUGCCAUCACGGCCUUCAGCAAAACUCCGACAGAGGUUGCCCCAUGCAUAGGAACUUCUCUCAGAGGCGUUGGUUCCGCUGAAAGCGAAAUGAUUUUUCAUCUUGAGGAUGACGUUCAAUCGGCAACGUCAAACGAGCAAGCCGCUUCAACGGCAAGGGUAAAUCAACCCAACCGUCAUAUUCCUCUUCCGCCCCCGUCCAAUCAGGGGCUGUUAAGAACUCCUGGCGACAAAGCCAAGAUUUUUGUACAGAAGGAGCGACAGCCGGUAGAUAUAGUGACUCUAAUCCAUUUACCCGGUUCACGAGUCGAACGCUACCUAGGCCAUCUAAAUUUUUUCUUCAUACGAGAGAGUACUAGUAUUCGCGAGGAUGGCGGCUUGAGCGGUUUCAUGCAAUCGUUUAUUACAGAGGUACUGGGAAUCGUGCGUGCUCACGUCUCCGCACUAGGAGGAAACGCUAUGGUUUCGUACUUUAUGACGCAGUGUGUACUUUUGCAUAAUCCUCACAAAAAUCAGGGUCAAUGCCUCAUCAAUGUUGGUGGUGAUGUCGUUCAAGCUGCCCGCUGCAUGCCCGAAAAGGAUGUUUAAAAGGCGUUUUACAAUUGUUUCGGUAGAUUGUAUCCACGGUAAAGAGAUUACUCCAAAUUCUUCCUUAACCGCUUCCAUCGAGGAAAAGGAUACUAUAUACUACAGAAUUCUGUAGACGUUCAAGUUCGACGUUGCGUUAAACGUCCUUUACCUCUUUGAGGUGCCCGUGUACCCCAUUUUGCCCGCCCAACACGUGGGAAUCAAUCUUGUCUUAAUUUUCCUGAGAUGUCAAAAGUGGAAUCCGUUGCUUCACUGACCCACAGCUGAUAACGACGUCGAAUGUGGAAAGCUACUGAAAAACAAGUGAUUAAUAUCAUCAUUUAUUUUCUGAAGCAUCAACAUUAAUUCUUGGCGGACAUGAAUUCUCUGCCGCGUGUGUUACAAAUCGAAUAAAUAUAUCGACCAAUA